UAAUACGUAGGGGGCAAGCGUUAUCCGGAUUUACUGGGUGUAAAGGGAGCGUAGACGGCUAUGCAAGUCUGAUGUGAAAACCCGGGGCUCAACCCCGGGACUGCAUUGGAAACUGUGUAGCUAGAGUGUCGGAGAGGUAAGUGGAAUUCCUAGUGUAGCGGUGAAAUGCGUAGAUAUUAGGAGGAACACCAGUGGCGAAGGCGACUUACUGGACGAUUACUGACGUUGAGGCUCGAAAGCGUGGGGAGCAAACAGG
rnacentral:rRNA from 1 species